rnacentral:lncRNA from 12 species
ACUGGGGGCCAGAUUGAUUUCAAUCUUUAAAUUACCCUAGGGCCCCAGAGGUCUCCAACUAUGGAGAAAAGACCCUGGUGCUGGGGCAAUGGCCACUUGGCAAGUUUUUCAUGAGGAUUAAAGGAGGCUUAUUUCUAUGAAGGGCCUACUGUAUUUCCAAGAGGAAGGAGUCACUGUUAUCUGUUAGAAGGAAGAAGCCCUUGCAGAAAGGACACAACUCCGUGCUCUCCCUGGAGCUGCUCCUAUAUGGACGUGUCUGGAAGCUGACAGAGUACAAGAAUGGCCCUAGAGGGUUUUUGCAUGUGCUGCCCCUGAAGUUAGGACAACUAUUGGUGAAGACUGGGAUUCUGGAAUGAGACUGCCUGGAUUCAAAUUCUGGCUCUGCACUUUGUUCCUCAGUACCUGUGCAUUCAGGCUCAGUGCCACAUAGGAAGAGCACUGAGGGAAGAGAGGACAUACAAGACAAAGGGUACAUGUGGAAGAGAUGAAGAAAAAUGUUCAGUGCUCCCCUGGGGACACAUAUCUGAAGCUCACAGGGUGGUUGAGGCCACAGGUGGCAACUUGGGAUCAUCAGAUCUAAGGUUAAAAUUCUGUGAAUUUCCAUGAAGAGGACUAGAAAGAAAAGCCAGGAGAGCGAGAGAGGACCCAGGAGAGUGAUGGAACCUGAGGGGAAGAACAUAUCCAGAGGGCAUCAGAAGUCAUCUAUGGCUGCCUAAGGGAAGGAGGAUUCCCUUGUGUUAUGCUCUCAGCAUGCCAAGAGCCACACCAGCCCUGCUGCAGCUUCUGGUCGCUUCAGGGCUCUUGGUCGCCCCUUGGGAAGCUACUGGGUGUUGAAGGAGGAGCAAAUAAGUAGAAAGUUUGCGCAACUAAUUUUUCAAAGUGUCUCAUUUGGAAGCCACGCGAGGGGAAAUCUGAUGUUCCAGUAGUAUCCACGGGUUUCUGCUGACUCAUCUGUUACAUCUGGGUGUAGUGUUAGCACAUAGAAGAUCUUUUACAGUUGGAGCAUCCUAAGGCUGAUGUGCAGUACCAGCCUUGGUGGGGAAGUGGAUCUUCAGAUGACACAUUAAUACAUUGGUCAUGUUGGUCAUGGUCUCUUAGUUACAUUAGAUGAUGUACUAGCAAUUCACCCUUCCUUUUUUUUUUAAGAACUUUUUUUUUAAGUUUUUAUUUAUUUAUUCAUGAGAGCCAGAGAGAGAGAGAGAGAGAGAGGCAGAGACACAGGCAGAGGGAGAAGUAGGUUCCACACUGUGAGCCCGACGCGGGACUCAAUCCUGGGUCUCCAGAAUCACGUCCUGGGCUGAAGGCGGGCACUUAACCGCUGAGCCACCCAGGGAUCCCCUCACCCUUCUUUCUAAGGGAUGUUCUUUUAAAGAACAUUCAACCUUAGCUCCCUUUUCUUGACUUCAUGUUAGUACCUGAUGAUGGAGAAAAAGAGCAGGGAUGGAAAAUAUCUAGUAUCCCAUAUGGUUAAGACUUGGAUUCAAAUUCUGAUGAAAUUACUUUGGUAUUUUUAUUAUGACCCAUUUUCUAUUAUAUGACUUACUUUCUAUCAUUGUGACUCUCAGCAAAUUGUUCAACCUUUCUUAGUUUUUUCAUCUAUAAAACA